CCGAGGAGCCCCACUGGGCUUCCCCCGGUGUGGAGGGAGCACGGGGGGCUCUGGGGGCAGGACGGGGACAGGAUCGGGGCAGCAGAGCCCCCACAGGGCAGGAAGGGGGGGACAAAUUGCCCCCUCUCUUCCCUGACAUCGCUCCCAGGUUCAGCUGCUGUCAGGGCAGAGGGGGCUCCCUGCCACCUCAACCCGGGAUGAGUCCUUCCUCCCAGCUUUCACAGUAUCAUCAAAAAAAUCAGAUUUUUGAAUUUUGGAGUAUCUUGGAAACAGAAGUUAAAUCUGAUUUCAGCUGACAAAACUGUUUUCUGGUUAUGCAAACUUAUCUCUGGGCAAACUAACCAUGGAAAUACAAGGAGCUACAGAGAAAGAUUUGACCUGACCUGGAAUGUGGAGCAAGAAGCAAAAUAGUCUGCCAGGUAGAUUGACAUGAGAAGCCAGGGAGAAGAUCAGAACGAAAGAAAACGAAAAAGGAAAACUGAUGAACACCGAUACUGGUUAAAAGACAUAAAUGUUACCUAAGGACAAAGAUAAACCAUCUGGAAUUUAAUGAGAGGUCGUUGGGGGGAUGUGAGCUGCAAGCCAGGAAAUGAGUGGAAUAAUUAGCAUUCGUAUCGUGAGUUUGAGUAGAAAAAACAAGAACAGUGAACAUGCCUGUGGGAUGACUGUACCUACUUAAUUCAAUACUGUACAACUGUAUAGUGCAUGUCUAGGGACACCAGCUAGAAAGCAGGUACUAUUUUGUUUUGUGCAGAAGCUGGCAUAAGCAUGGAGUGGAAAGCACAGAAGACAUGGUUUCAAGAUGAUGACUGUGGAAAACUGCCCGAAUCCUUGUAUUUAGAUGGUGAUUUUACAUGGCAGUUCCUGUGUGAUGUUAAUGAUUUCCUUCAAAACGUCUGUCUCAGAUAUUGUCACUGUGUGAAAUUGUCAUUUUUUGUAUUAAACUUUCACCCAUGACUGAAAUGAAAAUUUAUAUAUAUUUUUUCUAUUCUGAACAAGUUCAUAAUUUCUUGAAUAUGCCCAGGGGGUUGAG